rfam:Rodentibacter rarus strain CCTG17206 contig_116, whole genome shotgun sequence.
UUUGGCAGUCAUAGUGCAAUAGAACCACCUGAAUCCAUAUCGAACUCAGAAGUGAAAUGUUGUAAUGUCGAUGGUAGUGUGGGGGAUCCCCAUGUGAGAGUAGAACACUGCCAAUU